UUAUAGCGGUUGCUGCUCCAUUGCCAGGUUGACCGAUUUCCAAUAUCUGUGUAUGAACACAUGAUACACGCUGCACUGACAACUUCAGAUAAUUAGAUUUCGUGUAAAAUGAUGUUCCAAAAGGAGAACAUGAAUGGCCAAGAUUUCACAUUAUUUGUGGUUCAGAAAGGAAGAGAAAAGAAAAGUGGAAAGGAGUUAGAUUUGAACAAUACUCACUGGCUUGCUGGGAAGAUAAUAAUCUGUAACUUGAAGCAACUCUUCAGCCAUCCAUGUGAAUGAUGACAGCCUCCUUAGAGAUUCUCGUGAACCCUCUGACAAGCCCAUCAACUUCUGCUUCCCUGCAGAGGUGUAAGUGUAGAGAGACAUGCAUGCUAGAAGUCUUUCAUCAAGCUCAAACCCUGGGUGCAAGUGUCUGGCUAUGUCAUGUAACAAGAUCUCGCAAGCAGAAUAUCUCAUGUUAUUUUCACCGAGAGCAGCCAGCUCGCUUCCAAGCCAUGCAGCACAUACAAGGCAAUCAUGCGAGGUUCCCUUCGCCUUGCUUUGUAUUCCUUUGGCCAAAGCACGGAGAACUGGUACUCCUGUUCUGAUAAUUGUCCGUGCAGAUUUACUGCUCCAUGGACCUAUUUCUGUGUCCUGCAUCAUAUUUUACUCUGGAGUGUUAACUACGGUUAAGAUAAUUAUCUUGUCCAAAUUAGAUAGUGUUUUCAUACUUCACCUGCAGGCAAGGAUCAACCCAGUCGAUAUUUCUGAUCAUAUUUCUGUGAGAUGUUGAUGUGAGUCCUGCUUUCUUUGCGAGCCAUGCAGCAGUAUAUGAUUCCCCUGACCAGGAAUAAGUUCCUCCUAGAUUACAAAGGAAAGAUGCUGCUAAUGCCUGAACGGUGCAGUUUUCUUGGGAUGAUAGGGAAUCCAACAGGACUUCCAUUGCUUCAUCCCUGAAUACACUUUUACCAUCUGGUUUGUCCUACAGGAGCAGAUCAUUUUUUAGAUAAUGUGAGAUCAUUCCUUUAUCUAAAAUGAUAAUGUGAGAUCACUGCAAUGCUGUGUUUGUUGAACUGUUGCUAGUAUGUAUUCAUAGGAAUGGUUAAUAAUCAGUGCUUUCAUUUUAUUCGAGGUGAUAUUUAAAGUUGUCCUAAUGAGCUGCAGACAAUCUGGUUGUAUUUGCAGGGCUCUAAAUGAAAAUUCUUCAGAGGAGUACCAGGGACAGUAGACAUACCAGCAUAUCCAAUUGGAGAAGAAGAUUAGCUGCUAAAACCCUGUGUUCAGGUUCAGUUUGAUGGAGGCAGGCCAUCAAUGUAUGCAUAAUGGCAAUGCCUCCUAGCUUCUUUAUUUCUUGCAGCAGGGAGUUCGCUGCAGACCUGAAGGUUCACACAAUUCAACAAGCUAUUCGGAAUUAACAAAAUGGACCUUUUCAAGUUAUGGAAUGUACCGAGGAAUUUGAAGAAUCUCAUGGAAGUAUUCAAGAGCGGCACACUUGGCACGGUGUUCUUUUCGUCUUACAAGGUGAAGGAACGGUUCCACUGGAGUAGCCUGUGACAAGAACUUCUUGCAGUUUCCAUUAAGCCGUACACACCUGACGAGAAUAGCUGCCAGGGCCACACCUUCUUCCAAGUUGUUAUUCUUUGCAACAUCAACAAGCUUAGAUAGAAUAUGAGGAGAGCUGAUGGCACCCAAGUGGACGUUGUUUGUUACAUAGUCGAAUGCUGUCACCAAGAUCUCAAUGAGUGCUAUUGAUGCUGAUGUCGGGGUCAAUGGAAGCACCGCAGGCCACUUUUUGGUGUCUGAAUUACAAGCAACAUGUAGAAGUGAAGAUGUCGAAAUGCUGUCAAGAAGUUGGUCGAGGAUGUCUUGCCGUGCUGAUGAUUUGUAUCUCACCUCAGAAGAACUAUUCAGCAAGUGCCAUAUGGUUGUAACUUCCGAACCUGCAUCCAGCAUUUCAUGUAGGCACCUGCUGUCAGAGCUCCCCUUGGUAUCUUCUUGAAGGUCUGGAUCCUCACAGUUGAGAAAAUCCUUCAGCUCAGCGAAGCUAUCAUGAUCGCCACAGUUGGAGUCGAAGGCUCUGCACUUUUCUUCUUGAUCAAUUGAGUGGAUUGUCCCAUCCUGUGCAAAUGACAAAUUCACUUGAGCUCCCAAAUGCAGGCAUGCAGCUGUGGGUCAGGAUGGUUUAGUGUGCAUGCUUGUCACAAGCUGCUAGUGGAGAAUCUUUGUCCCCAGCUUUGCUUCAAGAAUUGGUCAGGGAUUUGGGGAUUGCAUUUGGCAAAAAAGGUGUUUCAGUUCCUUUUUUGAAUCCCUUUUGGAAAAGAUAAGAGUGCUGAUCUCCCUCUUUUUGCCACAUCACAGAGAAAAAAUGGUAGAAAGUGCAGAUUUGUGCCCAUGACCUGCAUAAAUGUGCUCCGGUGGGUUCUACAGGGAAAGAAAGCUCAAGGCAAAGGGAAUGUGAGAGAAGCUCAGAGCAUCCUUUUCACAAAUCACAAGGUGGUGUCCUACAUCAAAAUCACUCAAAUUGCAAGGUAUUCAUCUUGUAUUUUGCAAGAAUUUAAUGUUGAUUUGUUCCAAUGGCUUGCAAUCCCGG